rnacentral:rRNA from 1 species
AUUGAACGCUGGCGGCAGGCCUAACACAUGCAAGUCGAGCGGAUGACGGGAGCUUGCUCCUUGAUUCAGCGGCGGACGGGUGAGUAAUGCCUAGGAAUCUGCCUGGUAGUGGGGGACAACGUUUCGAAAGGAACGCUAAUACCGCAUACGUCCUACGGGAGAAAGUGGGGGAUCUUCGGACCUCGCGCUAAUAGAUGAGCCUAGGUCGGAUUAGCUAGUUGGUGAGGUAACGGCUCACCAAGGCGACGAUCCGUAGCUGGUCUGAGAGGAUGAUCAGCCACACUGGAGCUGAGACACGGUCCAGACUCCUACGGGAGGCAGCAGUGGGGAAUAUUGGACAAUGGGCGAAAGCCUGAUCCAGCCAUGCCGCGUGUGUGAAGAAGGUCUUCGGAUUGUAAAGCACUUUAAGUUGGGAGGAAGGGUUGUAAGCUAAUAUCUUGCAGCUUUGACGUUACCAACAGAAUAAGCACCGGCUAACUCUGUGCCAGCCGCCGCAGUAAUAC